UAAUUAUUAUUAUUGAUUAAGACUAAAAGUGUACAUUUGAUAAAAGUUAAAAUUAGCAUUUUCCACUUACAUUGUUGAUAAAACUAACAAUGACAUCAAAUUUACAAAUCCCUAACACAUUUUAUGAAUUUUCUAUUUUUAUUGGUUUUAAAGUAUGAUUUUCGUGUUUUGUAGAUAAAUCCCUAAAUUCAUGAUGUUUGGAUCGAAAAAGUGAUCGUGAAAUUUAGAUUCUGGAGACUCAAAAUCCUUUAGAAGAAUUGCUACUCUUUUGAUCCAACAUUAAUUAUAAAUAGCUGAGAUCAUGCUAUGUGUCUAAGCUAAAUUGCACCUUAUUGCACUAGAUUUAACACUUAUCAAUUUGAUAGAUCAACUAUCUUGAAAAAUGAGCCUAUGGAAGGUCCUGUUUUGACCUCAUUUAUAGCCAUUGAUUAUAUUGAAUCGGACGAUUCAUGAUGGUUGCAAUUUUAAAACCUUGGAUUAUAUUAGUAAAGCUCAUUUAAAAGUUGUGGUUGCAAGCUCAUCAAAAAUAUUAUGUAAAUGCCCAACUUUAUCAACUCAAAAUUUGCUUAUAUAAAGGCAAGAGCUCUCACAAAUUUGUGUAGAGAAUUUAGAGAGAAAUUGGUAGAGAAUUGGUAGUGGAUUUUUACAGGUGAGUUUUGUAGAGAAAUUUAAUGUAAAUUUAAAUUGAAUUUUAGAGAAAAGCAUGAGUUUGGUGUAAAUCUAGAGUGAAUUUUAGGAAAAAGUCUGAGUUUGUUGUAAAUCUAGAGUUAAUUUUAGACUCUCAGUACUUUUUUAAUUUAAACUAUUCCUUAUUAAUUUUCUUCUUUAUAAUUAUUUUUAUUUAAUAAUUAGCUGUUAUAUUUUUAAAUUCCUUAUGGUUUGACUCGAGAUUCACAAGUUAUAAUACAGCUAGACACUCUUAUAUUUGGGAGUAAUCAACCACUUUUGAGUCAUGUUAAUUAUUAUUAUUUAUUAUUAUUGUCUUUAUUGUUAUUUUUUUUAUUGUUAUAAUUUUUUGUAAUAGAAACAAAUAAUACUUAAGAUAACAAUUAAAAAACGAUAUUUUAGUAACUUGAAAUAAUUAAUUUUGAUUUUAAGAUAAAAUAAACAUAUUAAUAAUAAUACAGUCUAUUCUAAUUCUGAUUCAUAUAAUUUAAGUAAACAAUUUAUUUUAAUAUAUAUUUUUCAUUUUAAUUUCAACUUAUUCCUAUUAGUAGUUAGACUUUCACCUUUGAAAGGCUCCAGGACUUGCUUAUUAGACCUUUGAUUUUUCCUCAAUUUGUUAUUCAAGUCCAUUGACUUUCUACCUCUAUUACCAGUCAUGUUGGGCUUGGAAAUCUCCACUUCUAGUAAUAAUGAGCGUGAACGUGGGCCAGAUUAUUCAAAUGGAUUCUCUAUUGGACGUAGAUUAUUAGUUGCAAUAUUAGGAUCAUCAUUCGUCAGCCCCCUUCGCCGCAGAGAAAAUUUCUUAUCUUUAAAUUCCUGGCCCCCGUCUGUUGUGAAGGUUGAGUUGUGUUGGCGUUACCUCGGAUAUGAAGAACUGGGCAGAAUAAUUCCAUGAGGGGCCAUGUCCACUUCUUCUGCAGUGCCUAAAUGACUGCCCAAGAAGUGCCCCACCACUCUUUUGUCAAACAUACAAUCGGCAAAUUGUGAACCUAGUAACCAAAGUGAGGCAUGAGAGAAAUCCAAUCAAGUUUGGAUAUGUCCCCCAUUACCGUUGGCUGGACCAGACAAAUUUGGACCACUCCUGUUGGCUGAACUUUUUUAGUACAUUUUGAAAGUAACAACCAUGGAUGGACAUAAUACCACUAGCACCAACAGUCCAAUGAUCUUUCUUUUUCUUUUUUGUUGGGUAUAUUAUAUUUAUUUACUUAUUUUCGUAUUUUAUUUAUACUUAUUACAUAAAUUCAAACUCAUCUCAUAAUCAAUGGGCAUAAUUGUCAAUAGAAAUUUUGGGUGACUACUUGUGAAGGGGUGGAAUUUUCCUCCUAACACCCAUUUUCUUAUGAAACCAAUUAUUAAAAUUUCAAAACUUAAUUUUUACUCUACACAUCCUCUAUAUUUCCAAAAAGAUGACCUUAAUUAAAGAUAUAUAUUUAUUUUUUUCUACAAAUUUGUUUCUACAUCUGCAACCACUAAGUCUUUUGUUAGCGUUCUCACUUUUUCUUCAUCUCAACAAUGACCUUAAGUUGUUCUCUUAUCAAUCUCCACAAGAGCAUGCAUAUUAAUAAGGAGAAAUGAGACUUAAAUAAAUAAACAUGACAUAAUUAAAAUAUUUAAGAUUACUAAAAUAAUAGUAUUCUGCUAUGAAAAGAUCUCUUUUCAAAUUCAAUGUGCUGCUACAAUGCUGCCAGCCUGCUAUAAUACUUCUUGAAAAUUUUUUGGGUUGCAAAGUCGCUUGUCCCUGUUUUAUACUUGAUUUGCGCAAGAUUCAUAGAUGAGAAAAGAAAAUAUGGUAUCAGAAGCACCAAUUUCUAUUAUAUUGACACUUUCUUGAGUUCGCAUCAUGUGCAUUCGCUUUAUUUGUUAUUAUUUGUGAAAUACUCUAUUCA
rnacentral:lncRNA from 1 species